rnacentral:tRNA from 1 species
GCGAGUAUGGUGGAAUUGGUAGACACGCCAGACUUAGGAUCUGGUGCGGAAACGCGUGGGGGUUCAAGUCCCUCUACUCGCA